rnacentral:lncRNA from 1 species
AAGAUGAAUCUCCACAUGAUGUGGGAGCUGUGGGGUCUCAAGGAGGAUGGCCUCUGUCUAGGAGGAAAUCAGAAUUUCAGUGGAACUGUGGAAGAGUUCUGACCCAAAUACAAGUCAGAAGUGCUUGUGAGUUCCAGUGAGAUUCAACAAUUGCAGAAUCUCUUUUUCUCAGAGAGCAGAUACGUCAUAUUCUGUGUGUUCAUGUGUGAGUGUGUCACCCCCCCAACCUUUGCAGUUCCUGUGUAGUCCAGAGGAAUGACUAGCUCAUGGUUGUGACAUAGCCUCCACGACAGCUGAAGAAAGGGGAGCUGACCAGUAAGUUCUUGAUCUGGCCUCCGGAGAGCAGUGGACAGUGAGCUUCCCCACUCUUUGAAGCUUAAGUGUUGGAGGUACUUCAAAGUCCUGUUGGAAGACCAACUUUUUUUCGUCUUUUAGGCUUGAGCAUCACACGUCUAAAUGUGAUGUCUGGUCACUUCCAUUUCACAAGCAAAACAUUUUAACUAGGCCAAAAUAGAAGAGGAUAGACCUUCGAAAAGUGAUUCUUUUGAGUCAGACUGUCAAAAGUGGAGAGGCAAGUCCUAGAUCUCAGAGCAUACAGCACUUUCAGGUUUCAUUUUGGGGUCCGAGAGACUCCUUCCAUCCUGUUGCCUUGCCUCUGUGUUGACAACAGCAGUGGCUCCUACCUUGUCACUUGGUGGGUGGGAGAGACGCUAGGGGUGGCCACCAGCAUUCUGGUUAUGCCAGACUAAUUAGUCCCAGGUUCUUACCUACCCAUGCCCUAGAGUCAAAUGCCUAUUGCUGGUUUAAAAACCAAACCAAACCAAAACAA